rnacentral:rRNA from 1 species
UACGAGAGGCCCAAACGUUAUUCGGAUUUACUGGGCUUAAAGAGUCCGUAGGCGGCGCAGAAAGUGGGUGUGAAAGCCCUCGGCUUAACCGAGGAAUUGCGCUCCAAACUACUGUGCUUGAGGAAUCUAGAGGUGAGCGGAACUGAUGGUGGAGCGGUGAAAUGCGUUGAUAUCAUCCAGGAACACCGGAGGCGAAGGCGGAUCUCUGGGCCUUACCUGACGCUCAGGUGCGAAAGCUAGGGGAGCGAACAGG